GACGAACGCUGGCGGCGUGCUUAACACAUGCAAGUCGAACGGAAAGGCCCUGCUUGCAGGGUGCUCGAGUGGCGAACGGGUGAGUAACACGUGGGUGAUCUGCCCCUUACUUUGGGAUAAGCCUGGGAAACUGGGUCUAAUACUGGAUAGGACCAUGCUGUAGGUGGUGUGGUGGAAAGAUUAGUUUCGGUAAGGGAUGAGCUCGCGGCCUAUCAGCUUGUUGGUGGGGUAAUGGCCUACCAAGGCGUCGACGGGUAGCCGGCCUGAGGGUGGACGGCCACAUUGGGACUGAGAUACGGCCCAGACUCCUACGGGAGGCAGCAGAGGGGAAUAUUGCACAAUGGGCGCAAGCCUGAUGCAGCGACGCCGCGUGGGGGAUGACGGCCUUCGGGUUGUAAACUCCUUUCAGCCAUGACGAAGCCCUUGUGGUGACGGUAGUGGUAGAAGAAGCACCGGCUAACUACGUG
rnacentral:rRNA from 1 species